rnacentral:lncRNA from 1 species
CUGAAGGCAUUCAUAAGCUCAAACGGGUUGAGAAUGGGCAGAUUGUUAUUCCUGAAGAAUAUAAGCAAAUGGCCCUUGAGGAGGAGAGGUAUGAUGAGGGUGGUGAUGAUGACGAGGAGGAAGAUGCUGAGGAGGAGGCUGUCGAGGAGGAGAAAAAUCCUGACGGGGAUAAAGAAGGCCACGAUGAGAGCCAUUAGACCUCCUCGACGAAUUAUUUGGGCCUGCGCGCCAUGAACUUGUAAUUUUCUUUUAUUUUGAACAGUAUUUGGGGGCCUGCGUGCCCGGUUUUUUGUAAUAUUUGAACAAGUGGGUUUUUAAGCCCGGUAAUUUAUAACAUUG